CAAAGGGAGCAAUCCCGGCCACGGAUGGGCAUGCGGCGCAUUAGCUAGUCGGCGGGGUAACGGCCCACCGAGGCGACGAUGCGUAGGGGUUCUGAGAGGAAGGCCCCCCACACUGGUACUGAGACACGGACCAGACUCCUACGGGAGGCAGCAGUGAGGAAUAUUGGUCAAUGGGCGCGAGCCUGAACCAGCCAAGUCGCGUGAGGGAGGACGGCCCUACGGGUUGUAAACCUCUUUUGCCGGGGAGCAACGGGCGUCACGUGUGGCGCCACUGAGAGUACCCGGAGAAAAAGCAUCGGCUAACUCCGUGCCAGCAGCCGCGGUAAUACGGAGGAUGCGAGCGUUAUCCGGAUUUAUUGGGUUUAAAGGGUGCGUAGGCGGAUCGUUAAGUCAGUGGUCAAAUUGAGGGGCUCAACCCCUUCCCGCCAUUGAAACUGGCGAUCUUGAGUGGAAGAGAAGUAUGCGGAAUGCGUGGUGUAGCGGUGAAAUGCAUAGAUAUCACGCAGAACCCCGAUUGCGAAGGCAGCAUGCCGGCUUCCGACUGACGCUGAAGCACGAAAGCGUGGGGAUCGAACAGGAUUAGAUACCCUGGUAGUCCACGCGGUAAACGAUGAGCGCUAGGUGUCCGGGGGGAAUGGCCCCU
rnacentral:rRNA from 1 species